UGGGUCUUUGCGGGCAAGGUGAGUCCUCAUUCAUUCAACUGGCCUACAAAGUCCCAGU
rnacentral:pre_miRNA from 1 species